UGGGGAAUAUUGCACAAUGGGCGCAAGCCUGAUGCAGCCAUGCCGCGUGUAUGAAGAAGGCCUUCGGGUUGUAAAGUACUUUCAGCGGGGAGGAAGGGAGUAAAGUUAAUACCUUUGCUCAUUGACGUUACCCGCAGAAGAAGCACCGGCUAACUCCGUGCCAGCAGCCGCGGUAAUACGGAGGGUGCAAGCGUUAAUCGGAAUUACUGGGCGUAAAGCGCACGCAGGCGGUUUGUUAAGUCAGAUGUGAAAUCCCCGGGCUCAACCCGGGAAUUGCAUCUGAUACUGGUCAGCUAGAGUCUUGUAGAGGGGGGUAGAAUUCCAUGUGUAGCGGUGAAAUGCGUAGAGAUGUGGAGGAAUACCGGUGGCGAAGGCGGCCCCCUGGACAAAGACUGACGCUCAGGUGCGAAAGCGUGGGGAGCAAACAGG
rnacentral:rRNA from 1 species